rnacentral:rRNA from 1 species
ACAGCAGUCGCCACGGUAAUACGAAGGGUGCAAGCGUUAAUCGGAAUUACUGGGCGUAAAGCGUGCGUAGGCGGUGAGUUAAGUCUGCUGUGAAAUCCCCGGGCUCAACCUGGGAAUGGCAGUGGAUACUGGCUCGCUAGAGUGUGUCAGAGGAUGGUGGAAUUCCCGGUGUAGCGGUGAAAUGCGUAGAGAUCGGGAGGAACAUCAGUGGCGAAGGCGGCCAUCUGGGACAACACUGACGCUGAGGCACGAAAGCGUGGGGAGCAAACAGGAUUAGAUACCCCCGUAGUCCCUGUCUCUUAUAC